rnacentral:lncRNA from 1 species
GUGCUGCAACAUGGCCUCCUCCUCCUUCCCCUCGCGUCCCGCGGCACGGGGCGGUAGGGACCAGUUUGAAACAAAU